CGCGGGAUGGAGCAGUCUGGUAGCUCGUCGGGCUCAUAACCCGGAGGCCGCAGGUUCAAAUCCUGCUCCCGCAA
rfam:Tetragenococcus muriaticus 3MR10-3 WGS_Sequence311_281, whole genome shotgun sequence.